UACAGAGGGUGCAAGCGUUGUUCGGAAUUAUUGGGCGUAAAGGGCGUGUAGGCGGUUUGCUAAGUCAUGUGUGAAAUCCCCCGGCUUAACCGAGGAACGACGCAUGAUACUGGCAAGCUAGAGUACCAAAGAGGGGGGGUGGAAUUCCCGGUGUAGAGGUGAAAUUCGUAGAUAUCAAGCGGAACACCGGUGGCGAAGGCGGCCUUCUGGACAGUGACUGACGCUGAGACGCGAAAGCGUGGGGAGCAAACAGG
rnacentral:rRNA from 1 species